rnacentral:rRNA from 1 species
CCUACGGGUGGCAGCAGUGAGGAAUAUUGGUCAAUGGACGAGAGUCUGAACCAGCCAAGUAGCGUGAAGGAUGACUGCCCUAUGGGUUGUAAACUUCUUUUAUAUGGGAAUAAAACGUUCCACGUGUGGGAUUUUGUAUGUACCAUAUGAAUAAUGAUCGGCUAACUCCGUGCCAGCAGCCGCGGUAAUACGGAGGAGCCGAGCGUUAUCCGGAUUUAUUGGGUUUAAAGGGAGCGUAGGUGGAGUGUUAAGUCAGUUGUGAAAGUUUGCGGCUCAACCGUAAAAUUGCAGUUGAAACUGGCAGUCUUGAGUACAGUAGAGGUGGGCGGAAUUCGUGGUGUAGCGGUGAAAUGCUUAGAUAUCACGAAGAACUCCGAUUGCGAAGGCAGUUCACUGGACUGCAACUGACACUGAGGCUCGAAAGUGUGGGUAUCAAACAGGAUUAGAUACCCGGGUAGUC